rnacentral:rRNA from 2 species
AAAUUGAAGAGUUUGAUCAUGGCUCAGAUUGAACGCUGGCGGCAGGCCUAACACAUGCAAGUCGAACGGUAACAGGAAGCAGCUUGCUGCUUCGCUGACGAGUGGCGGACGGGUGAGUAAUGUCUGGGAAACUGCCUGAUGGAGGGGGAUAACUACUGGAAACGGUAGCUAAUACCGCAUAAUGUCGCAAGACCAAAGAGGGGGACCUUCGGGCCUCUUGCCAUCGGAUGUGCCCAGAUGGGAUUAGCUUGUUGGUG